AUUAUGUGCCUAAGCUAGGUCGAAGUCUAAGGAUAAAAGAGGACACUAACAACUACUAAGACAAAGAAACCAAACAAACACUACCACAAAAACGAGAAUAACACACAAUACACAACUGUCAAGUUACAUAGGCGAUCUCUAGAAUUUUACAGAGCGCCUAUGUAAGAUAAGCGUUUUGUAUGUUAGAACCUAUAGUUCGCCUACCAAGGUUAACCGCUCCGUUUCACAUCCCAAAAAUUACACCAUACAUUAUAGAGCGCCUCUCGUAGAUAACCGAUCUAUAAGUAUUAUUAAAAAAAAAAUUUUAAAAAAAACAAAAAGAAAACCCUUCAUGUACUGCUAAGACACGCCCCGCACUAACCCUAACUCCUUUGAGAGAGCUAGCCGUCACUCUCUAAAUCUCUUACUUCAUUCCUCAUCUUCCUCCACUAACCCUAACUCCACUCUCUAAUUUUAACUUCAUCCCUCAAUUAUACCACCUCUAAGGCUUCAACCUGCAAUAAUAAAUUAAAGGCAACCCAAAAACACUUGUUCACCACCAAGGCAGCCUCUUGAAUCACCCCAAUAACCCUUGAAUCACCCCCUCAUUUGUCUCUGCUUUGAUCAAGAUUAAUAACGCACACAUUGUCUCGAUUUUUUAGUGGUGGGUUGAUCUGAAUCUUUCUACGAACUAUAGCCGUCAAACGAGUGUUGGCUGUUGUUGUAGUGUUGAAUUGAUUUGUGGGGUGGUUGAUGUGGGAGCGUUGGUGAGCAGGGGUGUUGGUUGCAUGCUAGCGGCUUGUUAUUGCAGUGGUGGUUGUCUAAAUUGAAGAAAUUAGAACACGAGUAGCAAAGGAGGUAAUUGUAUCGCCGAUUGUUGUGGUGGGGUGCUUGAAGGUGUUGCUAUUGUUUGGACGUUUGGUGUUGAUGACAGUGGUGGCUGUUUUUAAUUUGGUGGUUGUCUAAACUUGUACUAGAAAUAUAAAUUUUUUAUCCCUAAAUUAGUUACUGUAAUCAUAAUACUUGUAAUCUUGUAUAUAAUUUUUUUAUUAAUAAAUUGUUAUUAGUAAUUC